UUGCGUUGAUGACUCUUAGGACACCAUUGAACUAUGGAUGUAAAUAAUAAAGAUCUGAGCAAU
rfam:Biomphalaria glabrata isolate BB02 unplaced genomic scaffold LGTN_random_Scaffold868, whole genome shotgun sequence.